GCAUAUCAAUAAGCGGAGGAAAAGAAACCAACAGGGAUUGCCCUAGUAACGGCGAGUGAAGCGGCAACAGCUCAAAUUUGAAAUCUGGCGUCUUUGGCGUCCGAGUUGUAAUUUGCAGAGGGCGCUUUGGCAUUGGCAGCGGUCCAAGUUCCUUGGAACAGGACGUCACAGAGGGUGAGAAUCCCGUACGUGGUCGCUAGCCUUUACCGUGUAAAGCCCCUUCGACGAGUCGAGUUGUUUGGGAAUGCAGCUCUAAAUGGGAGGUAAAUUUCUUCUAAAGCUAAAUACUGGCCAGAGACCGAUAGCGCACAAGUAGAGUGAUCGAAAGAUGAAAAGCACUUUGGAAAGAGAGUUAAAAAGCACGUGAAAUUGUUGAAAGGGAAGCGCUUGCAGCCAGACUUGCCUGUAGUUGCUCAUCCAGGUUUCUACCUGGUGCACUCUUCUAUAGGCAGGCCAGCAUCAGUUUGGGCGGUUGGAUAAAGGUCUCUGUCAUGUACCUCUCUUCGGGGAGAACUUAUAGGGGAGACGACAUGCAACCAGCCUGGACUGAGGUCCGCGCAUCUGCU
rnacentral:rRNA from 1 species